ACACCAGUUCCUAAAAUUGGCUUUGAUCCUUCAUCCGCCAUGUGUAAGAUAGAACAUUUAUUUACUAGGUUCAACUUCGUGAACCACCGUUCAUCAUUACACACGUGAUGUGUAGAACAUGUAUCAAGCCACCAUGAAUCUGUAUCAACCCCCUGUACAAAAGAAACUUCUGGAGUUAGUAGCAUAACAUUAAAUACUGAACUUACAAGAUCAAUAGUAAUUUGACCUUUGGUUGCAGAUUGAUCAUGAGAUCCACUGCCACCACCAACAUCUUUUCCACUACCACUUGCACCUUUGUUUCCAAGUUUCACCCGACA
rnacentral:lncRNA from 1 species